rnacentral:rRNA from 1 species
ACCCUCGGGGUACUCGAGCGGCGAACGGGUGAGUAACACGUGAGUAACCUGCCCCAGGCUUUGGGAUAACCCCCGGAAACGGGGGCUAAUACCGAAUAUUCACUGUGGACCGCAUGGUUUGUGGUGGAAAGUUUUUCGGCGUGGGAUGGGCUCGCGGCCUAUCAGCUUGUUGGUGGGGUAAUGGCCUACCAAGGCGGUGACGGGUAGCCGGCCUGAGAGGGCGACCGGCCACACUGGGACUGAGACACGGCCCAG